UCCUGGUUAGCUCAUUCGGUAGAGCGCUCCACCUGUAAUGUAGAGGUCCCUGGGGCCUGGUUCGAUACCAGAACCAGGCG
rfam:Ixodes scapularis strain Wikel colony gcontig_1108378904532, whole genome shotgun sequence.